rnacentral:misc_RNA from 1 species
GCGAAAUGCGAUAAGUAAUGUGAAUUGCAGAAUUCAGUGAAUCAUCGAAUCUUUGAACGCACAUUGCGCCCGCCAGUAUUCUGGCGGGCAUGCCUGUUCGAGCGUCAUUUCAACCAUCAAGCCCCCGGCUUGUGUUGGGGACCUGCGGCUGCCCGCAGGCCCUGAAAAACAGUGGCGGGCUCGCUGUCACACCGAGCGUAGUAGCAUACAUUCUCGCUCAGGGCGUGCUGCGGGUUCCGGCCGUUAAACGACCUUCAUAACCCAAGGUUGACCUCGGAUCAGGUAGGAAGACCCUCUGAACUUAA